ACAAGUAGCGGAGCAUGUGGUUUAAUUCGAAGCAACGCGAAGAACCUUACCUAAGCUUGACAUCCCAAUGACAUCUCCUUAAUCGGAGAGUUCCCUUCGGGGACAUUGGUGACAGGUGGUGCAUGGUUGUCGUCAGCUCGUGUCGUGAGAUGUUGGGUUAAGUCCCGCAACGAGCGCAACCCUUGUCUUUAGUUGCCAUCAUUAAGUUGGGCACUCUAGAGAGACUGCCAGGGAUAACCUGGAGGAAGGUGGGGAUGACGUCAAAUCAUCAUGCCCCUUAUGCUUAGGGCUACACACGUGCUACAAUGGGUAGUACAGAGGGUUGCCAAGCCGUAAGGUGGAGCUAAUCCCUUAAAGCUACUCUCAGUUCGGAUUGUAGGCUGAAACUCGCCUACAUGAAGCUGGAGUUACUAGUAAUCGCAGAUCAGAAUGCUGCGGUGAAUGCGUUCCCGGGUCUUGUACACACCGCCCGUCACACCACGGGAGUUGGAGACGCCCGAAGCCGAUUAUCUAACCUUUUGGAAGAAG
rnacentral:rRNA from 1 species